UGGGCUUGCUGCCUGAUAUGGUUCGUACUGUCAUUGAAAACAAUGAGGAGUUGACUCUGAUUGCCAUACAGGAGGCAGGAGACUAAACAGGAAAGGGAUUUCCCAUAGAAUUGGUACAAGUCAAGCUGCUUCUGGAAUGAAGAUCACAGGCUCUCCCAUCAGAUGAGGUUGGCAGAGAACUUCCUAUGUGGAAAGGCAAGACUUUUAUCAUCUUGCCAUCUCAUCUGUAACCCACAAACAACCCACAAAUAACCUGGAGCACAAAUCUGGUAGAAGCCUUUGCUUUCUUUUCUAUCUGAGAAGCAAGAUUCCUGUACAAGGUUGCAUAUUUGGUUACUGAUAUGCUAACUAUCCCAUUGCUUUAUGUUCUGCGGGCUGUAUCAUUUUUAUCAGACCAAAACACUCAUGGUGUGGAAGAGGAGAUAGAAGAAAACACUGCCAUGGUCAGUGUUGGGUAACUGGGAGGGAAGAAACCAGAAAGCAUCAGCAGAAAUGAUCACGGAGCUCUUCCUCUGCAGGAGCCACCACGUGAAGCUGGAUGGAGGAUGUGAAGAAGGCCCGGGGUGCAUCUCUAGGAGUCUCUCAACUCAAGGGAAGGGCGUGGAAAGAGUAGGACAUGGAAAACUCUCUCUCCUUUCAAGUUUCCAUGACAGUCUAUGACUUGCACCAGUAGGACAGAUAGGACAAAAGUCACCCUAAUUAUGCACACACGCACAGGAGUCCCACAACACAUGAGACACGUGAGAACCAGAUGACUGACAUGUGGGUCCAUCCGGAGCUGGAGAGAGGACCGGGGAGAGGGGAAGUCCAGGUGUUUGCGUGCCAGAGGAGGAGGAGCUCUUGCUACGCGAUGAAGACUCUCUGGGUAGCACAGGGCGGCCCAAGGUACCUGCAUGAGGAUGGCCUGUAGCCUGCCACGAAGUCUGUGUGGGGUCCAGCUCGUGUCUUCUCCAGGGAUGCAGUUGAUCUUCCUGGGUUGAUGAGAUUCCUGAGGAGGAGCCUCAUGAAAACUGAGCUCCCUCUGGGAGCAACUUCAGAGAAACCUCCUCCCUUUGGAUGGUAGAAGGUGAGAGCGAGGACCCUGUUCUCCUGCAGGUGACGGUACCCCCGUGCUGUGCAGCACACCUGGGAGUGCAGGUGACUAAGUUCCCACAAAACACACCAUCACCCAUGGGGGCCUUGAUUUGAGCAAGUGCACAGGAAAGUCUCAGCACCAAGGAAAGUGACUGAGGAGUGAAGCAUUCCUGCCACUCUCAGCUGCUGCAGGGUAAAACGUGCGCAGGACACAGGAGCAUGUUUCCAACUCUGGGGGAAAAUGGCGAACGUGGGACAGGCACACAGCAAGUGCCAGGCAUGAAGUGCGUCCACUCAGUAUUAUCUCAUUUAACCCUCAUGUUAGUUUGCAAACUGUUGUUAUGAUUUCUAUUUUAUAGAUUUGAAAAGUCAGGCACUGAAGUUAAAUAAUGUGGCCAAGUCAUAUGGCGAAUACACAGCGGAGUUGAAGCUGUCCUCCAGGGCAUGUGCGUGCACCCGCACCUGACAGAGUAAGCAGUUUCUACAUUGAGAGGAAUUAUGGAUGCAGGUUAGAAUCAUUGUACAGGCCGCCAAUUUUAGUAAAAAGCUUGAAUUUAGAAUAUUAAAAAUGGUGAGGCAAGAUUCUAUGUGCUUCCCGACAGUAAGGAGGAUAGAGACUUUGCACAGCUAUUUUUCUAUUGAUGAAUAUCUCAAGUUU